AGUUGCAAAGACUGUCGACGCGUACCUUGGUGAAAUUGCUACUUUUGGGGAUCUCAGUAUAUCAAAAUUCAAUGGAAUUGCUAUUUUGGUUCCUAAGGGAGCGAGAAAGGCUGAUGAUGAUCUUUACAGAGCUGUCGAUAUCUAUUUGAAGGUGACGAAAUCCUUAUUUAUAUAUAUUAGUGUGACUUAACGAAAUUAAUCAAGUACAUGACUUAUUAGAAUUGCAUUGCUAAAAUUGCAGGCGCAUCCACAUCUGGAUGAAAUUGAAAGAGAGAAAGUCUGCAGUGUGAUGGAUCCUCUGAAACUAUCCUAUGAAGCCAGAGUCCAUGCUUCUCAAA
rnacentral:lncRNA from 1 species